UCUGGCAAAGGCCGGCAGCUGCGGCUCCGAUUCCACCUGUGGCCUGGGGACCUCCAUAUGCCAAGGGAGCGGCCCUAGAAAAGGCAAAAAGACAAAAAUAAAAUAAAGAAUCAAUUCCUGCUUAAACUAGGUCAUUCUACCUACAUCUUACUUCCAAACAUGGUGAUCACUCACUUUGAUUUCUUACCAUUUUCAAUCAUGACGUUCUUUAUAUUCCUGAUCUUCAGUCAUCACCAUAACUAUCAGGUAAUAGAUACUAUUACAGUUGUCUUUUGUAGAUCAGGAAAAUAAAGCUUAGGUAUCAGAGUUCCCUGGCAGCCUAGCGGUUAAGGAUUCAGCAGUUGUCACUACUGUGGCUCAGGUUUGAUCCCAGGCCCCAGGAACUUGCACGUGCCGAAGGUGUCGCAUAAAUAAAUAAAAUAAUAAAUAAGGCUUAGGUAUCAAGUAUCCUACCUCAAUCCUUUUACCCAAAUGUUGCAAAGGAAGCUGAUGUGCUGGCCUGGCUAAGCACCUUGAAGAGAGAAGACAGCAAAAAACACCCAGCCUAUGGCCAGUUGGGUAACUGAUGUCUGGGAAGCUGUAAAUACUUGAGGAAAGUCACAGAACAAGUUCAAGAGCAACCUCAAAGCCAAACCUCAGGCCUUGGGGUGCAGUUUCACAGAUAUUCCACUAGAAAGACAUUAAUUCAGAGCCUUAAAUCUAUGAAAAUUUUAUGCCAUCAUAGAGUUCAGUAUUUUUGCCAACAUUAGCAUAAUGGAUCGCAAAGUCCACAGGGUUGAAAAAUGCCAUUGACAUAAUGAAAACUGAACAUCAUCUGAUUAUUGAGUGCUAUGUCAGCAAGUUAAAAGGAUCCUUCGCAUGCCUUUUAACAGCCUAUAGCCUAAAACCAAAGUGGUCAAUAUGGACAAACAUCCAGAUUGAAACUUGGGCAGUGAAUUACAAACACAACAAAUCAAUUGAACACAGCAGAUCUUGUCAGACUCAUGAAUAAUUAAAUGCAUUUUUACACUACUGUGUGGUUGGUAUUCACAGGUCUGAACUGGAAAAGCCAUCAAUCGAAGAAUAAUUGUAACCUCAGCCUUGUUCAGGGAGGAAUCAUUAUUUUGAGGUGAUAAGAGGUAAAAUGAUGAAAAUGUUGACAAGCUAAUGAGCGAAGUUGGAGGGAAAGUGUUUCACAUAGAGAGGCCCGCUGGUAUGAAUGUAGAGAGUCAAAACUGGGGAAAGUAGGAAAGUGGAAACAUGAGACAUAGGCUGGCACUAAACAAAUGAAGGCCCAAGAACCAGGCCUGGCUAAUGAGAGCAUCUCAUGGGCCAGCUACAGUGAUUGGUUCAGCUAGGAGGAUGUAAUAUAAGCUGAGCCAAUGAGAAUUAGCCCUGCGUCUUUGGGGAAAGAUGUCCUCCCCUUCUGGAGCUUGCUGAGCUGAUAUAAAAUCUCUAGGUACCAUCUUUCCACUGCCUGAGAAUGAAGAAAAAUGAAGCUGAGAAAUGUAAAAGAGAUCCUAACAACAUCAUUUAUCCUGUUGCUGCCAGAUCUGUAUCCGAGAAUCUUCAGCAACUUAAGAUGGAAGAUGAAAGCUGUUAAUAUUAUGUCUCAGCACAAGGCGUGAAACUGUGUGUAUCAUACCUGUGUCUCCACCACCAGGUAAAGAAGAGACCUUAACCAGCAUCCCUGAAGCCCCCUCCACCCCACCCAUGAUCCUUCCAAUCACUGUCCUCUCUCCCCCAAAGGUAGCCUCUAUCCUGUCGUCUAAAGCCAUAGCUUCGUUUGCGCCUGGGUUUUUUGUUCGUGUGUGUUUAUAUAAAUGAAAUCAUGCAGUGCGUAGCUCUUUUUUGCCAGGCUUUUUUUGUUUUGUUUUGUUUUGUUUUUGCUCCAUAUUAUGCUUAUGAGAGUCAGCCAUGUUGCUCAGAAAAGCUGUAGUCUGUUAGUUUGUGUUGCUGUAUCCUAUUACCUUGUAUAAGAUGUCAUAAUUGAUACACAAGGUCAACACUGAAGGAUACUUGGGAUACUUCGUUUCCUUCUAGCUGGAGGCUCUUACCAGAAAUGCUUCUGUGAACAUUCUUGUCCUUGGGUAAACAUAGACACUUGUUUCUGUUGGGUCUACACUUCCGGGUAAGUUGCUGAGUCAUGGAGUCAGCGCGUGUUCAACUGGGAUGAUAAUGCCAAACCGGUUUUUAAAGUGGUCAUACUAACACACACUCAUACUAGCAGAAUGUCAGCAGUCCCGUUGUUUUGUAUCUCCCUAUUCUUAGUAUUAUGUAGCAUUUUCAUGUUAGCCACUUUGCUAGGUAUGUAUAUAUUUGUAUUUCCUUGUGUUAUUAAAGUACUGUCUUUUUUUGGCUCACGGUAUGCCGAAGUGUCAGGGCCAGGGAUCAAACGCCCCCUACAGCAGUGACCUGAGCCACAGCGGUGUCAAGGCUAGAUCCUUAACCCGCUGAGCCACCAUGGAAUUCCUCAAGUACUAUAUUUUAAUUAACAACUAAUUGUGUUUCUUUUUAUAGCAGAACAGAAAGAACCAUUUAUAACCUCAUAAUGUGCUUUAAAAUAUCUUUGGCACCAAGUCCACAUCAUCCUAUUUCCUUUUAGGCCCAUCUUGGUGAGAAGUCUAUGUCCCAACUAAUAUAAAAACAAUAACAUAGACAUAUGACAGGCCCAGCUGACCCAUUUAGCAAACAGAAAGAUUCAUCUAAUAUCUCCUCGAAAUAAAGUAGGAUAGAGAAAUAAAAGCAAGGCAGAAAAACAACCAGCUUUUGAAAAUAAAGUGUGGCGUUCUCUCAUGGUGCAGCAGGUUAUAGGUCCUUCAUUGUCACUGCAGUGGCUUGGGUCACCGCUGUGGUGCGGGUUCCAUCCCCGGCCCAGGAACUUCCACAUGCCACAGGCAGAGCUAAAAAUUUAGAAAAAUAAAUAAAGAGUAAGCUGUAAAAUAAUCGAAUAUUACAGUUAGAUUCAUCUAAUUCAGCCAACUCGGGGCCAGGAGAGGUUAAAUGGUCAAGACCUACCCCAGCUGCAAACAGCCAGAACUAGAAUUCUACUCCAUUUACCCCUAAUCUUUUCUAGGAUACUCAACAUUUUAUUCAAUGUAUGUUCUUAAGUCUAAAAUUUCUCUUUAAACUCAGUUAAGUUUCCCAGAGUUCAGGUUCAUUUUGUAAGUGCACGUAGUUAACCAUGAAAGAACGCUCUGUCCACGUGUUGUAGUUAUACAGCCAUGCUUUCUCUCUCUGACUAAUUAGAAGACAACUCGACACUGAAAUCCAAUCCCAACAGAACACUAUAGCCAGAGAGCUGUCUGGCUAUCACUCUGCAGAAAGACACAGCAGUCUGUCUAAAUUCUCACUGCUUCCCUUGUCAGCAAGUCAGGGCUUGGAGUUUUAUAAAGGAAUCCAUGUCAAUCCCCAGCUCUGUCUUCCUCUGAGGAUUCCUGGGGGCUGGGGGUGGGGGGCUAGCUCCGUAAUGCAAUGGCUUUCUUGUCGGAAGAUAUCACCGUUGACCCAGUCAGCAGACCGUGGACUUUGACUUAUGGCUCCUCACGGAUCCAUAUACAUUCAUACUCAGAGCUUCUACAUGACAAAUGGCAUACAACUGCAAAUGCCUAGCCUCUGGCUGCUGACCAGAAUAUAGCUAAUUUAUCCCUAUAAGGUUCAUGGUUUGCGUCUUCGCUAACAGCAUCAGCAGACCAGCUAUAGACUCUUAACUUUCACCAUCUUGAUCUGGGAAAUAUAAUUUCUCCUCUAUUUCAUUGCGCUUAUUAAUGUAAAGUAUUGUAUUCCCUAAAUCAAAACAGCAGCCCACAGGCAUACUUAGCUUAACCAUCGCAGCCUUUAAAAUCUAUUUGAAUUCAUGCCCACAUUUGAAAUCUAGAGCGUUCAUAUAAAAAUUCAGAUGAUCGGCCUUUCUUGAAAUAUCAGAGGCUCUAGCCAUUCAGGGACCUCGUUCCUGGUGACAGCCCGGACGAGCUGACGGGGGUGGCCUCCUUCAGUGAGAACACAGCUCCCUAACUCACCAGUCACCUACACAGGCCAGUUCACUCCUCUAUGUUGCCUUCCUGACCCACAGAGGUAUUUGAAUUUGUGAUUCUUGCCCUAAUCAAAUAGUAUCAAGGCCAGGUUUCUGCCUGGAGCUCAAUGCCAGGGCUUUGGCAGCAACUCGAAGGCCCUCCAAGCAGGCUCUGUAUAAUUCUGGUCCCCUGCAGGCCCCUGCUGGAUUGCCCAGCACUGUCUUUGCCAUGCCCUUUCUGCAGGCUGGAUAUUGGCAUAACACAGAGCUCCUCUGGCAUACAAUGGGGCUGCAUUCAUUUGGGGAGAUCUGGGACUUCCGCUCUGCACCAGGAACCUGAUUCCCAUUCUCUCAGAAAAAAUGCUGAGGGAUGUAGUUGAGUUUUCUCUAAUCUGCAGAAAAUUCAAUUGGCAAGAUCUGCAAGUUUGGCUCUGCUUUGAAGCAUCUGCAUCCCUCCCCCCACCGUGAGUCAGUGCAUUCAACAAUGCUAUUUAAAAUUCAAUAAAUACAAGGCAAAUGAAAUGACCAAAAUGGAUCCUCACUUUUCUGAAAAAAAAAAAAAAAAAAAAAACUAAACAAAUGCU